rnacentral:snRNA from 1 species
CAGCACAGCCCCAACUGCUGCACUAAAACUGGAACGAUACAGCAUGGCCCCUGUGCAAGGAUGGCACGCAAAUUCCUGAAGCGUUCCAUAGUUUA